CUGUUUCAGUGCCGUCCUUGUCCUGAGCAGUGCCCGGAAGGACAGAUUCGUCGGCGAGGCUCAGCAUGUCGAGGUGAUGGCGCUAUCAUUUGUUGUCUGGGGAACUACACCAAGAAAUAUGGCAACGCCAAGUGCUCGUGGCUGAAUGCGGAAAAAAUUGGACAGCUAUCA